rnacentral:lncRNA from 1 species
AAUUAUAAGGUAGGAUUUUUAUAGCAAACCUUAUCAGAGUGUGGAGUAACUAUUGCAAUCAAAUUAUGUCCUAGAGUAAUAUCAAGAGUCUGGAACUGGGUCUGGCUGGGCUAUAAGAGGUGACUUAGAGAGCGAACUCUCAACUUUCUUAAUAAGGGAAACUCAAUAAGGCAAAUAACACCUAGGGGGCACAUAUUAGGGGGUGAGUUCCAUGUAAACUCAAUAAGGAAAAUAAUAUUUAUGAUCACAUGACUAAGGUUUAAAGAGUAAGUGAUUUGAAUAAAAUCUUUAUACCUCUUACUUUGGGGUUUCGCCACGAAAUGGAGUCAUUUAUUUAAUCAUAUAGAAAACCAUUGUCUUUAUGAAAAUCAUAUGCACAGGUAUUCAACCAUGCUAAAGAUACCAUAAAUUGACAUUCACGCAAACACACUAUAUCCCACAUAUUCAAACGAGUAAUUUGCUAGAUAAAUUGAGAAGUUUAAUAAAAUAACGGUCAGAGGGAUGUCAGGAGGUAUGAAUAAUGCGUAAUGCAAUAGAAAUAUCAUCAUACAGAUUAAGGAUGAUGCUCUAAACCUUAAUUAAAUGUUAUUUUUUCUUUUACUGACCUUC